rnacentral:rRNA from 1 species
UACGGAGGGUGCGAGCGUUGUCCGGAAUCACUGGGCGUAAAGGGCGCGUAGGCGGCUCGUGAAGUCAGUGGUGAAAGCCCAGGCUCAACUCUGGGUCGGCCACUGAUACUCGCGAGCUCGAGUUUGGUAGAGGCAGAUGGAAUUCCGGGUGUAGCGGUGGAAUGCGUAGAGAUCCGGAGGAACACCAAAGGCGAAGGCAGUGUCCUGGGGAGUACCUGACGCUCAGGUGCGAAAGCCAGGGGAGCGAACGGG